rnacentral:tRNA from 1 species
GCCUGGUUAGCUCAGCUGGUUAGAGCGUCGUACUAAUAUCCUCCCUCAGUGAUAUCAAGUAAUGCGAAGGUCAACAGUUCAAUCCUGUUACUGGGCA